UACGUAGGGGGCAAGCGUUGUCCGGAUUUAUUGGGCGUAAAGAGCGUGUAGGCGGCCAUGCAGGUCAGCUGUGAAAACUCGAGGCUCAACCUCGAGACGUCGGUUGAAACCGUAUGGCUAGAGUCCGGAAGAGGAGAGUGGAAUUCCCGGUGUAGCGGUGAAAUGCGCAGAUAUCGGGAGGAACACCGGUGGCGAAGGCGGCGACCUGGGUAGAUACUGACGCUGAGGUGCGAAAGCGUGGGGAGCAACAGG
rnacentral:rRNA from 1 species